rnacentral:rRNA from 1 species
UACAGAGGUCCCGAGCGUUGUUCGGAUUCAUUGGGCGUAAAGGGUGCGUAGGCGGUCUGCUAAGUUUGAUGUGAAAUCCCGGGGCUCAACCCUGGAAUGGCAUUGAAUACUGGUGGACUAGAGUACUGGAGAGGAAACUGGAAUUUACGGUGUAGCAGUGAAAUGCGUAGAUAUCGGGAGGAACACCUGUGGCGAAAGCGGCUCACUGGACCACAACUGACGCUGAGGCGCGAAAGCUAGGGGAGCAAACAGG